AGUGGCGAACGGGUGAGUAAUAGAUCGGAACGUAUCCCGUAGAGGGGGAUAGCUCGGCGAAAGCCGGAUUAAUACCGCAUAUGCUCUACGGAGGAAAGCAGGGGACCCGCAAGGGCCUUGCGCUAUGGGAGCGGCCGAUGUCCGAUUAGCUUGUUGGUGGGGUAAAGGCUUACCAAGGCGACGAUCGGUAGCUGGUCUGAGAGGAUGAUCAGCCACACUGGGACUGAGACACGGCCCAGACUCCUACGGGAGGCAGCAGUGGGGAAUUUUGGACAAUGGGGGAAACCCUGAUCCAGCCAUGCCGCGUGAGUGAAGAAGGCCUUCGGGUUGUAAAGCUCUUUUGGCCGGAAAGAAAGGGUUCGGGUGAAUACCCCGGAUCUCUGACGGUACCGGCAGAAUAAGCACCGGCUAACUACGUGCCAGCAGCCGCGGUAAUACGUAGGGUGCGAGCGUUGAUCGGAAUUACUGGGCGUAAAGAGUGCGUAGGCGGUUCUUUGUGUCCGCUGUGAAAGCCCCGGGCUUAACCUGGGAAUGGCAGUGGA
rnacentral:rRNA from 1 species